rnacentral:lncRNA from 1 species
AAAAACAUGGGAUACUACCAUCAUCUGCUGAGAGUAUAGAGGGCCAGUGGGAGCUCUGCAGUGAGGACGAUGAGCUCUUCCUUUCUCUUCCUGCAUACAUUGUCUGUUUCUGUAGUGCCUCAAAAUUUUACUGAAGGGACUUAGUAAGGCCCUAAAUUCAAUGAUGUGACUUACCAACAUGGAAGGGUUUUUUUCCCUUGUAAGAAAUUCAAUACCCUCUUCAGUGGAAGUCUUUUUAUUCUGUUCCUAGCCCAGAAUCAAGAAUCCAGAGAUUGGGCUUAUCACUCUUCAUCUAUUCAUUCUCUCCUUCUCCAAGCCUGUUUUUUUUUUUUUUGUUUUGUUUUUUUUUGUUUUGUUUUUUUUUUGUGAGUCUCUCUAUAUCUUUCCAAUAAAACUUUUCCAACCAAAAUUUGUCUUUCGUGCUUGUAACCAAGAACCCAGAGAGUUAAGACAUUUUUAUUAGAGGGUUGGAGAAAUGGCUCAGUUGUUAAGAGUACUACCUGCUCUUCCAGAGGACUCAGGUUUGGUUCUUGGCAUCCACAUGGCUCACAACCACUGGCAGCUCUAUUCCAGGGGAUCCAAAGUCUUUUUCUGAUCUUUGUGGGAAUGGGGCACAUAAGCAGGGCAUAGACAUUUAUGCAGGCAAAACACCCAUGUCCAUACAAAGAAGGUCUUGAUGUUAGGAGAGAAAUGUGGAAACAGACCCUCAGAGACUGUGAAUGAGAGUAAUAACUAGGCCACUAGGGAAUAACACAGAGCCCAUUAGUUUUCAAACUCCUAGAUAAUUUUUAUGACUAUUUAUUACUUUUCAUCACUAGAAUAAAGUUAUUUUUAACCUGAGUAACAUUAUUCUAAGUAGCCUUACUCUAUCCCAGUAUUGGGUUUUUAUGUCCUGUAAGCUUCAGAGGCAGUGAUGAUAGCUCCCUCAGACCUUUAGUGGGCAGUUCAUUCUGGUGAGCACAAGUCAGUCAUUUAAAAAAUUCCUUAGCAUUGUGAAAAUUAUUGGGACCCUUAACUGUCUGGGUUCUUGGUUACAAGUAAGAGAAUGGAACUUAGAAAAAGAAUUUAUUGGAAGGGCACUGAAGGGAUUGCAGAAACAGUGAAUGCUUGCGCCCCCCCCCCCCCCCAGUGCUGUAAAGAUAAUUCUGCAGAGCCAAGAAGCCUAGACCUCAUUUUAUGUAAAGAUUAUUUGGUCACAGCGCUAGUAGAUCCCACUUCUCCUCUUGCAAGACACCAUUGACACAAACCACUAAAAGUGUUUUUACUGCCAUACAUGAAUACUGAGAGCUUCUCUUGUCUAUGGGGCACUGUUUCUGAACUAGGAAUCUUGGGUUGAGAGUUUAAAUACAGUAUGCUGAAUUCUGUUUUCAUACACACAGAUCUUACAGGAAACAUACAGUAGGAGACUGGUCAUUUCUGUCAUGGAAAUUGUACUCAGUUUAUCCCACUAUAUGCAGUGUGAUAUCUUCCCAUUUUAAUUUUAUGCCUUGCUUAUCAUUUGCUUUAUAACAUUCAUUAGCGCCCCCCCCCAAACAAUGUUCAGUAAUGUUCAGUUAAUGAACAGUUAUCUUCUUCCUGAUCUAUAAGAAAGCAUUUAGACUUUAACUGUUAAGUUUGGUAUCAGCUCUAGGGUGGGGCAGGGUAUGUGUGUGUAUGUGUUCAUAUAUGUGCAAAUAUGUGUGUGCACGUGGAAGCCUGACAUUGGUGUUUUCUGUUGCUACCCACCAUAUUUUUAAGGUGGCAUCUCACUGUACCUGGAUCUCAACAAAUUUGACAAGGCUAGCCCAGCCAGCAAGCUCCAGGAGCCUCCUGACUUCAACUUCCAGCGCUGGGAUUACAGGGGCACAUACCCACAGCUGGCUUUUCUUUCCUACCCUCCUUCCUUCCCUCCCGCUUUCCUUCCUUUCUUUUAAACAUAGGUGUUAGGUUCUAAACUGAGGUCCUUCUUUCUACACUGCACAUAUCUUCUGGCCGAGCCAUCUUCUCAGGCCCAUUGGACACUUUUAAUCAAAUCAGAAAAGCUUCUUCCAUUGAUCAUGUGCUUUUAUUGUAAAUGAAUGUGAAAAUUUUGUCAAAUUCUAUUUCUUACUUUAUUGUAUAUGUUCUUUGAUUGUUACUAAGGUGAAUUAUAGUGAUGAUUUUCUUAUGCAGGAUAAAUUUUUAGUUAAUUGUUUAUGAUACUUUUUAAAUAUAACAGCUGAAUUCUGUUUUAUGUAUUUGAUAGAAGCUAUCAGGACAACCUGGACUUUUGAGUUUUCUUUGUGAGACGAUUUUAAAGUACCAGUUCAAUUUCCUUAAUAAAUACAGAGAUACUC